AUUAAGAGAAAAGGGAGAGAAAAACUGUGGGAGAGGAAGAGAAAAAGGAAUGAAAAUUCUACUCUUUUCUUGGCACAGUUUUGCUGCACUUUGAGGGAGGAAAAGAAAGCUUUUUGCUACAAUUUUUGGAGGAAGAAAAAGCUGAAAUUUUUGAGAAAAAUUAGAGCUGUUUGCUGCAGAAAAAUUGGAGCUGUUUGCUGCCAAUUUGUGCAAAAAAAUUGGACAGCAUCGUGCUGCCAAUUUGAGGGAGAAAAAGCAACUUGGUGCUGCCAAUUUUUUAGGAAAAGAGAGCUGAAAGUGUUGCCACCGGAGGAAGAAGAAAACAAGCCAAGGAAGAGAGGAAGCCACGGUGGUGAAGAGAGGAAGACAUGGUGGUGAAGGGAGUGACAGUGAAAGAGAGAAAAAGAAAGAAAAGAAAAGAAGUAGAAAAUAAAAAUGGGCAUGGCCCAAAUAGAAAAUAAAUGGGCAUGACCCAAUAGAAAAUAAGUGGGCAAGGCCUAAUAGGAAAUAAAAAUAAAUGGGCUUAGCCUAAAUAGGAAAAAUGGAUAAGCCUAUGGAGACGUCUCAAAGGUCAUAAAGAAAUGAAAAAGGCUCAAUGGAAAGUUAUCGUUGAGGCGUGCCAAACGAAGUAGGUAACCGACAAAUAGGAAUAAUUAUAUGCGUACGAAUCAAUAGUGAAAUAAUAUCCCACUAUUAUGAGAUAGGGAUCAGCCUAGCGUGUAGUCAGUGACGCGUUCGGUCCACCAUGAAUAGGUAAAGACAUCUCCUAGCAUUUUAUUCCGAGUCGCUCUACUGUUAGGGGUCAAGUCGUAGCUUUUUAUUUGUUAAGUUGUAAACGAAUUCUAAA